AUGCCUCCUGCGCGCUUCUGGGAAGUUCAGAGGGGUCGGGGCUUAGGUGUAGACCCCGGACACAUAUCCGGGACUUUGGCAUGUUGUGCAGGACCUCGCGGUGACUGAGCUCUUUCCUCUGCAGGGCCGACCCUGAGAAUCCGUACAACACAAGAGUAUGCUCGCGAUUCCUGUCACCAAGUAUCUUGCACUUAUCGCAGCCCCCACCAACUCCAGGCCAAGAGCUGUGCCUCUUUCACUACAAACCCUUGGAGAGGGUAUCCAUUUUGGAGGUGGCUCUCCUCUGUGCUUCCUUAGGCACCUGGUUCCAAACAUGAAGACAAGGACUUUAUCUCAGUAUCUGGCACCUAGCAAAAUCUUAGAAAAUACUGAUUUAAGCUGAACUCUGAUCUGUAUUCCACCCUCUGCACAAAGCAAUCCCCACCUGCUCGUCCUUAUUCAUUCCUCGUCUUGCUUAAUG
rnacentral:lncRNA from 1 species